GGUUCGGUAGCUCAGCUGGUUAGAGCGCGCGACUCAUAAUCGCGAGGUCGGGAGUUCAAGUCUCCCCCGAACCA
rfam:Hyphomonas johnsonii MHS-2 contig3, whole genome shotgun sequence.